GCCAGGAAUGUAAUGCCUCUAGUUAUCUUCAUAAUGGCCAUCACUCAGAUGUGUCCGUUUUAGACUUGGGAAGAUUCUCCCAGUGGUAUUAAAUCCACCGGAGACUUUGAUUUCAGUAUCAUCUUGCAUGAAAGUUCUUAUGAAUUUCUGCUUUUCUCAGUAUUUUGAUCUUUCUUUCUCAGCUAAACUAAGAAAGGUGUCCUACAACUUAAUUAUUAAGAACAAGGAGGUUGUGGGGUACUUCUGUUACCUCAGAGCCCCUCCUCCUCGGAACUCCUUUGCAGCAGAAUUUUCUGAUAUGAAGGUGGUUUUAGGUAUGCUACCUGGCAAGCAUGAAGUCCCCUUUUCCUUGGCUGAAGAUUCUUCACUUCCAAGAAGACUCCACCACUCAGAAGAUUGCUUUCAGACUUUACUUCCCAUUACUAUUGGAUAUGUUGUGUUUAGUGCCAGCCUGCAUGUGCUCAGGUGACAAGGUUUUAGCAAUCCAGAAGAGUUACCUGUAAGCAGUACCUGUGUGAUGGUUGGCAUGGCUGCAGUAAGAAUACAGCAUGUUUCUAAGGAAGACACCCUAUACUAGCAUAUUAAACAUGGAAAAUCCUCCAGUUCAGGGCAUCACACACAACCCUUUGCAACCAGUGCAAGUUGAGAAGAGAAGAACUAGUGCAAGUCAUCUAAACCUCAUUAAUCCCCAAGACCACUUAUUUGUUGGAAGCUGUUCCGUCUGAAAAUUGAAAUGCUUGGAAUUACAGUGGACCGGUGACCAAAAAAUAAAAAAUAAUUUUAAAAAAAAUGAAGUGUUCA
rnacentral:lncRNA from 1 species